rnacentral:misc_RNA from 1 species
UCUCCGUAGGUGAACCUGCGGAGGGAUCAUUUCCGAGUGAGGGCCUCCGGGUCCGACCUCCAACCCCUUUGUCGUACCGACCCUGUUGCCUCGGGGGCGACCCGGCCUUCGGGCGUCGGGGCCCCCGGUGGACCAUCAACACUGCAUCUGUGCGUCUGAGUGAUUAAUCAAUCAAUUAAAACUUUCAACAACGGAUCUCUUGGUUCUGGCAUCGAUGAAGAACGCAGC